GACGAACGCUGGCGGCGCGCCUAACACAUGCAAGUCGAGCGGAGAUAUUUGAAGGAAGUUUUCGGAUGGAAUUUGGGUAUUUUAGCGGCGGACGGGUGAGUAACGCGUGAGUGACCUGCCUUCCACAGGGGGAUAACGUACCGAAAGGUACACUAAUACCGCAUGAGACCACAGCACUGCCUGGUGCAGGGGUCAAAGGAGCAAUCCGGUGGAAGAUGGACUCGCGUCCGAUUAGAUAGUUGGUGGGGUAACGGCCUACCAAGUAAGCGAUCGGUAGCCGACCUGAGAGGGUGAUCGGCCACAUUGGAACUGAGAGACGGUCCAAACUCCUACGGGAGGCAGCAGUGGGGAAUAUUGGGCAAUGGGGGAAACCCUGACCCAGCGACGCCGCGUGAGGGAAGAAGGUUUUCGGAUUGUAAACCUCUGUUCUUGGUGAAGAGGGAAAGACGGUAGCCAAGGAGGAAGCCCCGGCUAACUACGUGCCAGCAGCCGCGGUAA
rnacentral:rRNA from 1 species